CUAAUGAAGUUUACUUCACUCCACCAGUAAUAAUUUAUAAAGCGGUUGAUUCUCUUCAACCAAAUCGGCAAGCGUGUAGUUAUCCAGCUCCUUGAGAAAACUCUGCACGGCCUUAGAAAGCGCCUGUUUCAGACGACAGGCAGGGGUGAUGUGGCAAAAUUCGCUGCUACAGUUGACCAGUGAUAAGGGUUCCAGCUCACGCACCACAUCGCCAAUACAAAUAGUAUUAGCCGGUUUACCCAGGCGGAUACCGCCAUUUUUUCCCCGAACGGCGGUGACAAAGCCCGCCCGGCUAAGCUGAUUGAUAAUUUUGACCAUAUGAUUACGG
rnacentral:misc_RNA from 1 species